rnacentral:rRNA from 1 species
CCCUUAGAUGUUCUGGGCCGCACGCGCGCUACACUGAUGCAUUCAACGAGUUUCUUCCUGGUCCGAGAGGAAUGGGUAACCUUUUGAAAGUGCAUCGUGAUAGGGAUAGACUAUUGCAAUUAUUGGUCUUCAACGAGGAAUUCCUAGUAGACGUAGUUCAUCAGACUGCAUCGAUUACGUCCCUGCCCUUUGUACACACCGCCCGUCGCUCCUACCGAUUGAAUGCUCAAGUGAGCCAUUCGGACUUUCAUCAUGCUGGUUUCCAGUUUUGAUGAAGGAAAGUCUUGCGAACCUUAUCAUUUAGAGGAAGGAGAAGUCGUAACA